rnacentral:lncRNA from 1 species
CCAGACCUCAUUUAAGGGUUGGCAGUGGAGGUGAAGGUGUCUUGCUGGAGAUCCCUGCCUAUCUACGACCUUCUGAGGGGUCAUCCACGUUCCCUUCAGGAAAGAGGAUUUCACCAUUGCAUUCAGCAUCCAGCGAUGAUUGAGCUGUUCUGGGGUCACAAAAUUAAACCAUCCUCUUGUGAGGGCAUAGGAGGAACAUUAUUACCUCCACAGCAAGGAAUAAAAAAAUCCCCACAAACCAGAGCACUGUCCUAUUUGGCUGUAUUACUUCUUCUCUGAGCAACACUGACUUUACUGACUCCAAGUACAGGUGGAGAAGAUCUGGAGAUGCUCGUGCCACUGACAUGUAAGCCAUGUGUGAUGGCACCAGGACAACAGUCUGUGACCUGGAUGGACUUUGUAUCUCAGUUUCCCCUAUGGACAAGGAGGUUGUCCAUUGUGCUCCUUGGUUUUAGUCACUGUGGUUCAUCGCCUACCAGACCUUUGUGGGCACCCCAGUUUCUCGAACAGCUGGCUCCAAGAAGCUGUUGGUGUUGGACAUUUCCUUUUAUUGACUGGAAGGAAAGCACUAGGAAAGCCUGCUUAGUUGAAAAAGAAAGCAGAGGGGAAAAGAGGUCUUUCCUAUUCUGUGUCUAUGUGACUUCCAGCUCAAGGUUUGAGCUAAUGUGUGAUAGAUCCAGCUUGUCGUCAACCUGGCUCUACACAAUCCCCC